rnacentral:misc_RNA from 1 species
UCGUACAACCGAGGUGCGAGGGCUGUCGCUGACUUUUUUUUGUCGUGCACGCCCGAGUGCUCUCACACAAUCCAUCUCACCCCUAUGUGCACCACCGCGUGGGUCCCUCUUUGGCUCGCUCCGAGGGGGGGCUCGCGUUUUCACACAAACUCGAAGCAGUGUAGAAUGUCUUCCUUUGCGAUCACACGCAAUUAAUA